AUUGAACGCUGGCGGCAGGCCUAACACAUGCAAGUCGAACGAGUGGCGGACGGGUGAGUAAUGUCUGGGAAACUGACUGAUGGAGGGGGAUAACUAAUGGAAACGGUAGAUAAUAACGCAUACCAUCGGAUGUGCCCAGAUGGGAUUAGCUAGUAGGUGGGGUAACGGCUCACCUAGGCGACGAUCCCUAGCUGGUCUGAGAGGAUGAACAGCCACACUGGAACGGAGACACGGUCAAUACUCCUCCGGGAGGCAGCAGUGGGGAAAAUUGCACAAUGGGCGCAAGCCUGAUUCCGCCAUGCCGCGUGUAUGAAGAAGGCCUUCGGGUUGUAAAGUACGUUCAGCGGGGAGGCGUUACCCGCAGAAGAAGCACCGGCUAACUCCGUGCCAGCCGCCGCGGUAAUUC
rnacentral:rRNA from 1 species